UGGAAGUAAAAGUCGUAACAAGGUCUCCGUUGGUGAACCAGCGGAGGGAUCAUUACCGAGUUUACAACUCCCAAACCCCUGUGAACAUACCUAUUUGUUGCCUCGGCGGUGCCUGUUCCGACAGCCCGCCAGAGGACCCCAAACCCUGAUUACAUUUAAGAAGUCUUCUGAGUAAACCGAUUAAAUAAAUCAAAACUUUCAACAACGGAUCUCUUGGUUCUGGCAUCGAUGAAGAACGCAGCGAAAUGCGAUAAGUAAUGUGAAUUGCAGAAUUCAGUGAAUCAUCGAAUCUUUGAACGCACAUUGCGCCCGCUAGUAUUCUGGCGGGCAUGCCUGUCCGAGCGUCAUUUCAACCCUCAAGCCCCCGGGCUUGGUGUUGGGGAUCGGCGAGCCUCCGCGCCCGCCGUCCCCUAAAUCUAGUGGCGGUCUCGCUGUAGCUUCCUCUGCGUAGUAGCACACCUCGCACUGGGAAACAGCGCGGCCACGCCGUUAAACCCCCAACUUCUGAACGUUUGACCUCGGAUCAGGUAG
rnacentral:rRNA from 1 species